GAUGAACGCUGGCGGUAUGCCUAACACAUGCAAGUCGUACGAGAGUUUUUAACUCAAGUGGCGGACGGGUGAGUAACACGUGAGAAUUUGCCUUUAGGAGGGGGAUAACAGCGCGAAAGUGCUGCUAAUACCCCAUAUGCUUUCGAGUGAAAUGAAUUUAUUCGCCUAAAGAGAAGCUCGCGGCUGAUUAGCUUGUUGGUAAGGUAAUGGCUUACCAAGGCGACGAUCAGUACCUGGUUUGAGAGGACGAUCAGACACACUGGAACUGAGACACGGUCCAGACUCCUACGGGAGGCAGCAGUGGGGAAUUUUCCGCAAUGGGCGAAAGCCUGACGGAGCAAUACCGCGUGAGGGAAGACGGCCUAUGGGUUGUAAACCUCUUUUCUCAG
rnacentral:rRNA from 1 species